UUAAAUCUGAGUCUGUAACUUUCCCAGAAUGAGGUUUCUCUUUGUUUGUUCUUUUUUUCAGGGACCCAACGGACCAAAAGGAGGUGAAGGCGCCAGGGGCCCAACGGGACCAAAGGGUCCUCCGGGUCCAUCGGGUCCCCCCGGACCAAAGGGUACCAUGACUAAAGUCCUGAAGGGAGUCAAAGGAGAGCAAGUGAGUACUGCUGUUCUAAACAAAUUUAGGAACACUUUGUGUGUCAUGUAAAAUGAUAGAGACCAAAUUAGCCAAAGAAAGUUGUCCAAAAACUGCUUCAAAAAUGCUGAAUUAAGUGGAGGAAUCUGAAAAUAUUGUGUACAAGUGAAAGAGCUUUUUAUAAGGAAGCACAUUAACGUUCUUAGCUUUUUGUAAGGAUUUGACUCUAUUUAAAAAACGUAACAUAACAACAACACUUCUUUACAUGUUUUGGCUGCAGGGAGAUGUUGGACAGCCAGGCCCACCAGGAAACGACACUCGGCAGCAAAUAAAGCCGCCCUCUGUAAUCUGCAAUUUCCUCUUAUUUUUAUGCAAUGGUGCAAUCAAGGACGUCUGGUUCAUAAAGGAACUCCUUUUUUUGUGUGUUUUUUUGUUUGUUCAAGGGACCACCUGGAGAGAAAGGGCAAAAAGGACAAGAAGGAGAAGUGGACAUCAUUACAGGAGAACCCGGCAUACCGGGACCACCGGGACCCAGGGGGGAAAUGGGUAG
rnacentral:lncRNA from 1 species